GAAAAUAAAUGCAAGAAACAAAUAAUUAGUUAACACAUAAUCAUAAAAUAAAUGCAUGUGCUGGUAAAAGGAGACAUUAUAUCCAUAGUGCAGGGAACAAUGAAAUGCAUUUGCUUAUUAAAAGGAUAGAAAAUAUAUCAAGCAAUACAACCAAAUUUAGAUGAAAAUUCAUAAUAAUGGACCAUCAAUGCUAUUGACACACUUACAUGAAUCCACCCAAGAGGAAAAAG
rnacentral:misc_RNA from 1 species